UUACUUCUAACCAACUCCUAAUAGGACUCCUACUCAAGACUCAUAUUCCCUUACAACUCCUAAUUCUUCUCUAAGAAAAAACCUCCUACAUGAAUGCCCCUCACAAUUAGGACUCUCCUAGCUAGAGUCCUAACAUUUUUACAUGAUUGUCCCUCUCAAUUAGGACUCUCCAAGCUAGAGUCCUAACAGACCCGCCCUCUUC
rnacentral:lncRNA from 1 species